GGACGAACGCUGGCGGCGUGCAUAACACAUGCAAGUCGAACGAAGCAUUUAAAGCGGAGACUUCGGUCAAAGCUUUUUAUGACUUAGUGGCGGACGGGCGAGUAACGCGUGAGCAACCUGCCUCUCAGUGGGGAAUAACGUUUGGAAACGAACGCUAAUACCGCAUAACGUAGCGAAGUCGCAUGGCUUUGUUACCAAAGGAUUUAUUCGCUGAGAGAUGGGCUCGCGUCCGAUUAGCUAGUUGGUGGGGUAAUGGCCUACCAAGGCGACGAUCAGUAGCCGACCUGAGAGGGUGAUCGGCCACAUUGGAACUGAGACACGGUCCAAACUCCUACGGGAGGCAGCAGUGGGGAAUAUUGCACAAUGGGCGAAAGCCUGAUGCAGCAACGCCGCGUGAAGGAAGAAGGCUUUCGGGUUGUAAACUUCUUUUGUCAGGGAAGAGUAGAAGACUGUACCUGGCGAAUAAGCCACGGCUAACUACGUG
rnacentral:rRNA from 1 species